rnacentral:rRNA from 1 species
CCCUGCCUUUUGUACACACCGCCCGUCGCUACUACCGAUUGAAUGGCUUAGUGAGACCUCCGGAUUAGCGACCUAUUGGUGGCAACACCAUCUGGCUGCCGAGAAGCUGGUCAAACUUGGUCAUUUAGAGGAAGUAAAAGUCGUAACAAG